GUCACGCGAGGGCACGCCUGCCUGGGCGUCGCAC
rnacentral:rRNA from 1 species